GCUUUAGCCAUCUCUCUGACCUCAGUGCUGCUGGACUCAGUUCCAAGAUCUAACUGUCAAAUGCUUUAGGGGAAACGGGAGGAGAAGUCCCUGGAGUAACCCAUGUGCGCAGCCUGGCACUGUUUUCACUUGCCUUUGGAAAUGAAGGUGCAGAAACCAUGGGAGGAACCUGAUGAAAUGCCUGGUCUAACAGGAGGAUGCAGAGAAAGUUAUGAAGAGAGGAUCCUGAGGAAUUUGCUCCUGGGCCGUGAAGAUGGGAAGCUGAGUCAGAGUGCAGUUCUUCACCCAAUCCCACAGCCACACGUGCCUGCUUGCUCACGGGAUCUUCCCACUCUCCUCGGGAAGGCUUCCGAGCUGCUUCCUCAGGAUGUCCUGUGAUAGCAGCCUGACCUGUCAAAGCCAUGCGAAUACCAUCUGUUCAGUUAUAUAACUUGAGAUCUGGGAAGAAUUCUCAACAUAGGAUUUGCUGCCCAAAUCAAAUCAUUUUCAGAAAGGAGAUUAAGCAUUCUUUGCUGGGAAAAGGAGAAAUUACCAGAAAAAUUAUCAUUUCACUGAGUAUAAACAAACCUUUGUCCAAAAUACACAAAUGAAAAUGACAAAUUUGCUUCACUAAUAUUUGCUUGCAUUAAAAAUAUACACAGGGCUAUGUAUGGUUCAAUAUCUUAAGUGCAAAGUAAACUCUUAAUUAGGAACAAUGGAAUUAUUAAUUUAAUGAAUCUUAAUUUUGUUUAGAUCAUUAGCCUGCAGUAUAAUGUCCCAAGCAGAAUUUGGGGUGGAGAGCUUGGUGGUGGAAGAGGAAGUGCUCAUUUCUACAGACAUGACAAGAUUAUUAACACUAAAGAAUGACUUUUCUUUCAUGGGAGGGGAAGAUAUCUGACCCACCAGCAGUCAGACAGAAACCCUGACUUGUGAUUUUAACAUUACCUUAUAUGACCCAUGGUCACCUUGUAUGACCAAAGAAAACCAUUUAUGAAAUAGCUGCCCGGAGUUCAAGAUUUAAAUGGUAACUUUGUAGACUAGGUUUUCUCUCAUCAUCUAAUUUACUUGCCUUAACGCUUGUUUCUUUGCCCUUAUUCCUACUGGCUCUCGAGUAUAAUAUCCUGAGAAUUUAUGUUGAACAGCACUAAUUUUUUCACUUGGAGCUAGCACAUGUUUAUGACUAGUACAAGUUUAUAACUACAAAAAACAGAGAUUUUGUCAUCUUAAACUGAAUUUACUGGGAAUAAAAUCAGUCAAUUCAGAAAAGUAUAACAAAGGAAAUAAAAAUCACCACAAUUCCUACUACCUGAAGAUUAAGUGGUUAAAGUGUUU
rnacentral:lncRNA from 1 species